rnacentral:rRNA from 1 species
CAGUAGCCACGGGAAUACGGAGGGUGCAAGCGUUAAUCGGAAUUACUGGGCGUAAAGCGCACGCAGGCGGUCUGACAAGUCAGAUGUGAAAUCCCCGGGCUUAACCUGGGAACUGCAUUUGAAACUGUCAGGCUGGAGUCUUGUAGAGGGGGGUGGAAUUCCAGGUGUAGCGGUGAAAUGCGUAGAGAUCUGGAGGAAUACCGGUGGCGAAGGCGGCCCCCUGGACAAGGACUGACGCUCAGGUGCGAAAGCGUGGGGAGCAAACAGGAUUAGAUACCCCGGUAGUCCCUGUCUCUUAUAC